rnacentral:rRNA from 1 species
AUUGAACGCUGGCGGCAUGCCUAACACAUGCAAGUCGAACGGUAACGCGGGGGCAACCCUGGCGACGAGUGGCGGACGGGUGAGUAAUACGUAGGAAUCUGCCCAUUUGUGGGGGAUAACCCGGCGAAAGCCGGGCUAAUACCGCAUACGCUCUACGGAGGAAAGCGGGGGAUCGUAAGACCUCGCGCUAAUGGAUGAGCCUACGUCGGAUUAGCUAGUUGGUAGGGUAACGGCCUACCAAGGCGACGAUCCGUAGCUGGUCUGAGAGGACGAUCAGCCACACUGGGACUGAGACACGGCCCAGACUCCUACGGGAGGCAGCAGUGGGGAAUAUUGGACAAUGGGGGCAACCCUGAUCCAGCAAUGCCGCGUGUGUGAAGAAGGCCUGCGGGUUGUAAAGCACUUUCAGAGGGGAAGAAAAAUCGGAGCUAACACCUCCGGUCUUGACGUUACCCUUAGAAGAAGCACCGGCUAACUCCGUGCCAGCAGCCGCGGUAAUACGGAGGGUGCAAGCGUU